rnacentral:sRNA from 1 species
UGACGAGGAUGAGAACCUCCGGGGGCAAGAGGUUCGACCCGAGCGAAGCGAGAGAACGUUGCGUCAGCAACGGCCCGCAGGGCGAGCCACGCAGUGGCGAGUCAUCCUCUAUCACCGACC